rnacentral:rRNA from 1 species
GACGAACGCUGGCGGCGUGCUUAACACAUGCAAGUCGAACGGAAAGGCCCUGCUUUUGUGGGUUGCUCGAGUGGCGAACGGGUGAGUAACCCGUGAGUAACCUGCCCUUGACUUUGGGAUAACUUCAGGAAACUGGUGCUAAUACCGGAUAUGAGCUCCUGCUGCAUGGUGGGGGUUGGAAAGUUUCGGCGGUUGGGGAUGGACUCGCGGCUUAUCAGCUUGUUGGUGGGGUAGUGGCUUACCAAGGCUUUGACGGGUAGCCGGCCUGAGAGGGUGACCGGCCACAUUGGGACUGAGAUACGGCCCAGACUCCUAAGGGAGGCAGCAGUGGGGAAUAUUGCACAAUGGGCGGAAGACUGAUGCAGCAACGCCGCGUGCGGGAUGACGGCCUUAGGGUUGUAAACCGCUUUCGCCUGUGACGAAGCGUGAGUGACGGUAAUGGGUAAAGAAGCACCGGCUAACUACGUG